rnacentral:rRNA from 1 species
UAGGGAAUCUUCCACAAUGGGCGCAAGCCUGAUGGAGCAACGCCGCGUGAGUGAUGACGGCCUUCGGGUUGUAAAACUCUGUCUUCUGUGACGAACAAGUGUGAGAGUGGAAUGCUCACACCCUGACGGUAACAGAGGAGGAAGCCACGGCUAACUACGUGCCAGCAGCCGCGGUAAUACGUAGGUGGCAAGCGUUGUCCGGAUUCACUGGGCGUAAAGCGCGCGCAGGCGGUCUUCUACGUCUGGGGUGAAAACCCGGGGCUCAACCCCGGGACUGCCUUGGAUACGGGAAGACUUGAGGAUCGGAGAGGCAAGGGGAAUUCCACGUGUAGCGGUGAAAUGCGUAGAGAUGUGGAGGAACACCUGUGGCGAAGGCGCCUUGCUGGCCGAUUUCUGACGCUGAGGCGCGAAAGCGUGGGGAGCAAACA